rnacentral:rRNA from 1 species
ACACCCCGGGGGAACACACAAAGAAAAAAACCUUCCCCUUGGAGGCCCCCCCUCUAAUAGUUUGGGGGAGAAAACCCCCCCCAAGGGCACAUGGGUGGGAAUAAAGGUUUAACCCCCCCUUUGGGAAUAAACCCCCCCCAAUUCCUGGGGGGGCGGCGGGGGGAAUUUUCCCCAUGGGGGAACCCCUAACCCACGCCCCCCGAGGGAGGAAAAAGUUCUUCGAAUUUUAACUCCUGGUUGUGAGGAAGGAAAUGACCGUUCCCCACAGAGGAGGGGCGGGUUAUCUACGGCCCGGCGGCCCGGGUAAAAGGGGGGUCACAAGCGUUUUUCGGAAAUUCCGGGGGAAAAAGGGGGCCCCGGCGGGAAAAACAGUUGGAAGGAAAAUUUAGGGGCCCAACCCAUAAACUUUUUCAAAACUUUUUUUUUUGAGUGGGGAGGGGGUGGGGGAAUUCCCGGGGGUAGGGUAGAAUGGGAAGAUAUCGGAGGGAACCCAGGUGGCGAGGGCGGCCUACGGGGCACAACUGGCGUUGAGGCUCAAAAUGGUGGUAGCAAACAGGAUUAGAUACCCUGGUAGUCCACCCCCGUAAACGAUGAUUACUAGGUGUUGGAGGAUGGACCCCUUCAGUGCCGCAGUUAACACAAUAAGUAAUCCACCUGGGGGAGUACGACGCAAAGGUUGAAACUCAAAGAAAUUGACGGGGGCCCGCACAAGCAGUGGAGUAUGUGGUUUAAUUCGACGCAACGCGAAGAACCUUACCAAGUCUUGACAUCCUGCGACGCACAUAGAAAUAUGUAUUUCCUUCGGGACGCAGAGACAGGUGGUGCAUGGUUGUCGUCAGCUCGUGUCGUGAGAUGUUGGGUUAAGUCCCGCAACGAGCGCAACCCUUACUGUCAGUUACUACGCAAGAGGACUCUGGCAGGACUGCCGUUGACAAAACGGAGGAAGGUGGGGAUGACGUCAAAUCAUCAUGCCCUUUAUGACUUGGGCUACACACGUACUACAAUGGCGUUAAACAAAGAGAAGCAAGACCGCGAGGUGGAGCAAAACUCAGAAACAACGUCCCAGUUCGGACUGCAGGCUGCAACUCGCCUGCACGAAGUCGGAAUUGCUAGUAAUCGUGGAUCAGCAUGCCACGGUGAAUACGUUCCCGGGCCUUGUACACACCGCCCGUCACACCAUGAGAGCCGGGGGGACCCGAAGUCGGUAGUCUAACCGCAAGGAGGACGCCGCCGAAGGUAAAACUGGUGAUUGGGGUGAAGUCGUAACAAGGUAGCCG